CCAUAUAAACCAACUGCUAAAGAACCAAAAUAUGCCACUUAAAACAGGCAUAUUUUAAUUUCAACUUAAUGGAUUCUUGUUCAUCUAAUGCAGAGCUUCUGAAGCAAGUAUAUUGAGAUGAUUUCUUUGGAGCAAUUCUUGACAACAUUUGUAGUUGAGGCCUUUAGAAUGGAAGAAUGUAUUUCACUAAUUUUUGUAUACAUUUCUUGUUUUGUAUUUAGUGAUAAAGGAAUCUGAAUUGGGCAUAAAUUAUGUUGUAAUAUGAUUUCUUAAGCCUAGACUAAUAGACUAAAUAUUGUAAUUACAUUUGAGUAAUUAAUAAAAAUCUAUUUAUGUUACCUUA